GGCUGCUGGAGGAAGAGCCAAACCCUGCUCAAAAUCAAGAUGCUCCCACCAGUGUCCCCUUCCUUCCUCACCGCUCCACGUGCAUCCCUCCCAAAGCAAGCCGUGCGCUCAGGCUAAGAGGACGACCGCCCCUGGUAGAGGAGGACUGUUCUUCGGUCAAGGGUAUAGGAGUAGCUGCGCUCCCCUGCUAGAACCUCCAAACAAGCUCUGAAGAUGCUCCCACCAAUAAGGCAGUUAGGUCUCAUGGGAGGGAGGGGCAGGAAAUCUGUCUGCACUGCAGACAAAUUGUAUUGGAAACUA
rnacentral:snRNA from 1 species